GGACCCAUAGCUCAGUUGGUUAGAGCACCUGACUCAUAAUCAGGUGGUCCCAGGUUCGAGUCCUGGUGGGUCCA
rnacentral:tRNA from 1 species